UUGCCCUAGUAACGGCGAGUGAAGCGGCAACAGCUCAAAUUUGAAAUCUGGCCCUAGCGGUCCGAGUUGUAAUUUGUAGAGGAUGCUUUUGGUGCGGCGCCUUCCGAGUUCCCUGGAACGGGACGCCGGAGAGGGUGAGAGCCCCGUACGGUUGGACGCCUAGCCUCUGUAUAGCUCCUUCGACGAGUCGAGUAGUUUGGGAAUGCUGCUCUAAAUGGGAGGUAAAUUUCUUCUAAAGCUAAAUACCGGCCAGAGACCGAUAGCGCACAAGUAGAGUGAUCGAAAGAUGAAAAGCACUUUGAAAAGAGGGUUAAAUAGCACGUGAAAUUGUUGAAAGGGAAGCGUUUGCGACCAGACUUUUUCCGGGCGGAUCAUCCGGUGUUUAGGCCGGUGCACUCCGUUCGGUUUAGGCCAGCAUCGGUUCUCUUAGGGGGAUAAAGGCUUAGGGCACGUGGCUCCUUCUGGAGUGUUAUAGCCCUUCGCGUAAUACCCCUCGGGGGACCGAGGUACGCGCUCUGCAAGGAUGCUGGCGUAAUGGUCGUCAACGACCCGUCUUGAAACACGGACCAAGGAGUCGAACAUUUGUGCGAGUGUUUGGGUGUUAAACCCUCACGCGUAAUGAAAGUGAACGGAGGUGAGAGCCCUUCGGGGUGCAUCAUCGACCGAUCCUGAUGUCUUCGGAUGGAUUUGAGUAAGAGCAUAACUGUUCGGACCCGAAAGAUGGUGAACUAUGCGUGGAUAGGGUGAAGCCAGAGGAAACUCUGGUGGAGGCUCGCAGCGGUUCUGACGUGCAAAUCGAUCGUCAAAUCUGCGCAUGGGGGCGAAA
rnacentral:rRNA from 1 species